rnacentral:rRNA from 1 species
AGAGUUUGAUCCUGGCUCAGGACGAACGCUGGCGGCACGCUUAACACAUGCAAGUCGAACGAGAGAAGAGGAGCUUGCUUUUCUGAUCUAGUGGCGGACGGGUGAGUAACACGUGAGCAAUCUGCCUUUCAGAGGGGGAUACCGAUUGGAAACGAUCGUUAAUACCGCAUAACAUAAUUGAACCGCAUGAUUUGAUUAUCAAAGAUUUAUCGCUGAAAGAUGAGCUCGCGUCUGAUUAGCUAGUUGGUAAGGUAACGGCUUACCAAGGCGACGAUCAGUAGCCGGACUGAGAGGUUGAUCGGCCACAUUGGGACUGAGACACGGCCCAGACUCCUACGGGAGGCAGCAGUGGGGAAUAUUGCACAAUGGAGGAAACUCUGAUGCAGCGAUGCCGCGUGAGGGAAGAAGGUUUUAGGAUUGUAAACCUCUGUCUUCAGGGACGAAAAAAGACGGUACCUGAGGAGGAAGCUCCGGCUAACUACGUGCCAGCAGCCGCGGUAAUACGUAGGGAGCGAGCGUUGUCCGGAAUUACUGGGUGUAAAGGGAGCGUAGGCGGGAUCGCAAGUCAGAUGUGAAAACUAUGGGCUUAACCCAUAAACUGCAUUUGAAACUGUGGUUCUUGAGUGAAGUAGAGGUAAGCGGAAUUCCUAGUGUAGCGGUGAAAUGCGUAGAUAUUAGGAGGAACAUCAGUGGCGAAGGCGGCUUACUGGGCUUUAACUGACGCUGAGGCUCGAAAGCGUGGGGAGCAAACAGGAUUAGAUACCCUGGUAGUCCACGCCGUAAACGAUGAUUACUAGGUGUGGGGGGACUGACCCCUUCCGUGCCGCAGCAAACGCAAUAAGUAAUCACCUGGGGAGUACGACCGCAAGGUUGAAACUCAAAGGAAUUGACGGGGGCCCGCACAAGCAGUGGAGUAUGUGGAUUAAUUCGAAGCAACGCGAAGAACCUUACCAGGUCUUGACAUCGUAUGCAUAGCUCAGAGAUGAGUGAAAUCUCUUCGGAGACAUAUAGACAGGUGGUGCAUGGUUGUCGUCAGCUCGUGUCGUGAGAUGUUGGGUUAAGUCCCGCAACGAGCGCAACCCUUACUGUUAGUUGCUACGCAAGAGCACUCUAGCAGGACUGCCGUUGACAAAACGGAGGAAGGUGGGGAUGACGUCAAAUCAUCAUGCCCCUUAUGACCUGGGCCUCACACGUACUACAAUGGCUGUCAACAGAGGGAAGCAAAGCCGCGAGGUGGAGCGAACCCCUAAAAGCAGUCUUAGUUCGGAUUGUAGGCUGCAACCCGCCUACAUGAAGUCGGAAUUGCUAGUAAUCGCAGAUCAGCAUGCUGCGGUGAAUACGUUCCCGGGCCUUGUACACACCGCCCGUCACGCCAUGGGAGUCGGUAACACCCGAAGCCUGUAGUCUAACCGCAAGGAGGACGCAGUCGAAGGUGGGAUUGAUGACUGGGGUGAAGUCGAAACAAGGUA